GAUAGCGAGAGGGGAGGGACAUCCACACCUGAUGUUAGGCUUUAUCCCAGCAACGUACAUCUAUUGAGUCGGACUAGCUUGCUAGUGAACUUGAGUAGGUGCUGCUAUUCCACUGCCAUUGUGGAUUUUGGCCAUACAAUGUGUGUUCAUAUUGUGUGUGUUAGAGAGAGAAAGAAAGGGCUGUCACUCACUCAGUUAGCCAUUGAGGGUGUGGUCUGUGUAUGCUUGUGUGUUUUGUUUUGCUUUUCCCUGACAGUUUGAGUAGUAUACUGUAUGUAUCUGAACAUCAACUCGCUCCGUUCAGCUUUGUGUUCACAGGUCUGCAUGAGGCAAAGUCUAUGUGAUCUGCCAGUGGUGCAUUAUUUACUAAGGAUGUCAGAAAUGUAGUUGUUGAAGAUGGAAUUUUUUUGUCGGAGGUGUGUGUGUGUGUCUGUGUGUCUGUGUGUGUGUGUGUGUG